rnacentral:rRNA from 1 species
AUGUUCGGUGGUCGUCUUCCUAUCGCGGGUAAUGGGGAUCAACACCAACACAGCCCCACUGCCUCGCUGGCUGCCGACAACCGGCAACAUCAAGGAAACGACGAUCACCAUGUUGGUCGCGGAAGAGCAGCAGGAGCUGCUGCCCACAGCGCCCCUGCUACUGGUGCUGAACGGAGGCGUGGCGACUUUGCUGCCCCCCGUGAGGGUGGGCUGCAUGGAGGAGAAGCUCGCGGGCGAGGCCAUGACCCCUCCGGGUUUGCUGCUGAUCACCGGCGACGAGCGGCACAUGAUGGUGAUGCCAUCUUCCUUGAAGAUCUCUCCGAGCAUGGUGACGAAGAUGAAGGCAUGGGGGACUAUGAACCCUACUCCCCGCCUCGCCGUGAUGCUGUUUUUGGUCGCAAUGGUCAUCAUUAUGACCGUCGUGAUCAGGAUAACCGUGACAACCAAGCGAGAGUGAAGCUACAUGUGCCAUCAUUCACGGGAAAAGAGGAUCCAGAUGCAUAUAUUGAGUGGGAAGAGAAGUGUGAUCAAAUCUUUCGCAUCCAUGGUUUUUCUGAAGCCAAGAGAGUUGAUCUUGCUGUUAUGGAGUUCUCUGGUUAUGCUCUUACAUGGUGGAAUCAACUGCAAGACGAUCGGUUGAUGUCAGGCAAUAAUCAUAUCCGCAGCUGGACUUUGAUGAAGCAAGUCAUGAGGCGUCGUUUUGUUCCAUCAUCCUAUGAGAGGCAACUGUAG